UAGAUCAGACCAGACAACCUACAGCGUAGUUAAAGAACUCCUUUAAUCAUGUAUUUAUAUGCUGGGAUACUGACUAUGUCUUCCUACAGUCUUGAAGCCUCAUCUGAAGUUGAGCCCCUGGGUGCAUCUGGGAUAUAAAUUUAACAACAGGGUCCCAUUUUGCCUGUAAGACUUACUGAAUAAGAAGGAUCAGCAUGCAAACUCCAUCUUACAUCUUGGGAGUAUUCCACAGGCUGUGGCUCACGUAUAGGUGGCAGCAAAUGUGAACAAAAGCCCACGUCUGCAUUUCUGUCCUGGCUUCCCACCUCCAGAACGCGUCUUUAACUCAACAGAUCUCAGACUGACUCAGUAACACUUUCUCCUCACUCUGACUCUGGAAAUGUGUUUUCUACUGUGCUGCAAGUCCUAAUUCCAGAGGACUCCCGCAAAGACAAGAAAGCUUCUAUCAAAGGUUAAUUCUCUCUCAUUAUAAUGAGGUGAAUCAGUCAACCAAGGAGGCAGCUGAGAGCCAGAGUCAUCGCAAGGGAAGCGGUGUGGGCAAGCAUGGAACAAUGUGCUGAGCAGGACAGUCGUGCAGCAGCACAGACAGGAGAGCAUCUGUUUUCAUCCACCUCUGAGCCUCUUCUUCACUCAGCUUCUCUUCUCAGCUGCUCUCCAGUCAGCCCAGAGGGAGCCUUUGAUGGCUAGCUGCUCAUCACUGCAAGUUUACUGCCCACGUGUCUUUCAUCAGUGCCAAUGUCAGAUGAGUUCUUGUGCUGAUCACGAAAGUAUACGUCACCCUAAACUCCUGACCAGUUGCGAGGAGGCAACAGCAAAAGAAGAGUGAAAGGACCAAAGUGAAAGGACCCACCAGCAGAGGGAAGGAGCAGUUCCAGGUAGAUUUGCUUCAUGAAUAAUGCUCGACGCCGGCCUUGGCGAGCCCGCUCUGCCACCUGGAUCAUUUUAAUGGCUUCUUCAAAUGUCAUGGCCUUGACAGGUUUCUUCAGCAGCGCAGCCAAAGAGGAAAGGACAAAGCAGAGCGGUUUUGUUAACUGCCUACCUCAGUUAGCAGAUGAGACAGGGAAUUAACCUUUAGUGGAAACCUUCUAAGACAAAACAUCUCUGCUACAAACAGCAGAGACUCUUCUUGCAGGGCCAUCAUGCGGUAUUUUUGAAAUUUGCUACCUCCAGAGACAAUUUUUGAGGAGAAAGUGAGCCUGACACACUGCUGUCGUUUCUGUGGCAUCCCAGGGAUGGGUUCCUGGAUGGGCUGCUGGAUCUUCAGCUCUUUUGCUGAGUGAAACAACAGGCUGAUUUGAGCUAGCCAGACCUGGUCAGAAGGUCUGACUUAGGGAAAAAAGCAUGUCAGAACAGGGCAGCUGGAGAGAACUCCUCCUUCCCACUUCUGAGAACUCAUCAGUGCCUCGUGUUCCCCAUGGAAAGGCUGAAUUACUGUCCUUUCCUGACAUUAAUCCCCCUAUUGGAGACAGUUCACAUUCAGUGUUUCUACAUAUAUUGUGUGGAGCUCACUAUACAACAUUUUCAGCAGGGCUUUCUACAAUGGAAAUACACAGGAGAACGAAUGGUCUGUGCAGCAGAUUCCUUUAAUAAGCCCAUGUCCUCUGAUAAAACUCCAGAGUUUUGUGUGUACUCUCAGCUGUUUGUAACAGUGCUGUCAUGGACACUCAGCAGCACAGUGCUCUGCUGCACAGCAGUCAGGAUUUCCUGAGUGUACAUGGCUUGCUAUGAUGCAUACAGAGGUGCUGAUAACCCUCCAGCAAUCGCAGCAGUGGUGGAACUGGAGUAUAGCACAAGGCAUGGGAUUCACAGUGGGUUCAUAUGAGAUUGUUUUCUUCAUGUUUAUUGAAUCUUGUUGUGACAUCCUGGCAAAGGGAACCUGGACCCUGCCAGAGCUUGGUGUUUGCAGGUGAGCUGGCUGCACGCUGGAAAGGCUCACCUGCUCAUGGCUGCCAUGCUGAAAAGGAAUGAGAACAGAACUGUGGGAAACAAAAAGACUCCAAGAAGUAACAGAGGAUUUCCACAGACUGACAUCAGACCAUUACAGAAUUUACCCAUAAAUUUACUGUGGAGGCCAGCGGGGCUGCAGCUGCCCAUCAAAGUAAUCUGCAGACUGCUUCUUUCUGUGCCUGGGAACCCUCCCUCGGUCGCUCUGUGGGAUCAAUGCUACCACAUACCCAGCAGGGAAGCAGACUUCCCCCAGCAGCACAAUUACUGCGGAGGAUUCGGUGGCUGUGGGUCUGAUCAGGACUGUCUCUUAUGGCUGCAGCAUCUACAAACCUCACUCUGCAGACACAGCAGCCCAGUUGUUUAUUUCAGGAGGUGAGAGGGCUGCUUGCGGGCAGCGGGCCAUUUCCAAGAGGUCAGAAGUAUAUCAAAUCCAGAACAGUCUUCACCAGAGCACUCAUGUACUUCUCCAUAAUGACUUCUGCUCUGCCAAAACCCAAUUUUCUACUCCUCCUAGCAGCUGCAGCUCGAUGGCUGUACAGAAGAGACUGCAGCCAUUGUUUGGAGGUUAUAAACAACUGAAUGCUGCUGUGCUGACCUGAACUCUGAGUUUUGCCCAUUCCAGCCAGAAACCCUGGCUCAGUAAAACUGAAGCUCACCUUGAUUUCAGUAGGACUGAUUAUGUGAGGAGAGUUAGCUGGGUAAAUAAAGCAGCUUCUAAGCUUGAGCCAAGUGCUGCCCUUUCUCUGACACUCGCACACACGGAGUCAAUUCAUUUCUGCAGUCUUAGGCUUGAGAUGUGACUGGGUAUUGUUAGGCAGAAAAACUCAACGCUACUUUCUGUUUGAGCCUCAUCUGCAAAUGGACUUAACUACCAUAAAAAUACUUCUUACUUUAGUGGCUCACGCUCAGGCAUGCAUGGCUAUAAGCUACAAAAUUAAGCAUGUUAUUGUGUAGGUACAUGGCAUGCUUACCUGUGUUGCCAAUCCGGCAUUCAACAAAAUCUCAUCCAGAGUUUUCUCUCUCUGCUGCAAGCCUUCCAGAUUCUCCUUAAUAAAAUACUUUGGGAUAGGUAUUUCUGUGUCUUCCUAUAGGAAAAAAUAGUUGUGAGGUGCUUUUUAAAACUGCGUGAAAAUCAUAUUACUUAUUAGCUGCACACCUUUACAAAGCAAUUAAAUUGCAGAGAGAUUAUUGAAUUUUUUUGGAGUGUUAGGGAACCUGACCUCUG